AUAGCUCAAUGGCAGAGCACAGGACUGCAGAUCCUGCGGUUGCGGGUUCGAAUCCCGCUGGCACCA
rnacentral:tRNA from 1 species